rnacentral:rRNA from 1 species
AUACGGAGGGUGCAAGCGUUAUUCGGAAUCACUGGGCGUAAAGGGUGCGUAGGCGGUUUGAUAAGUCUGAUGUGAAAUCCUAUGGCUCAACCAUAGAACUGCAUUGGAAACUGUCAGACUAGAAUACUGAAGGGGCAGAUGGAAUUAGUGGUGUAGGGGUAAAAUCCGUAGAUAUCACUAGGAAUACCGAAAGCGAAAGCGAUCUGCUGGGAAGUUAUUGACGCUGAGGCACGAAAGCGUGGGGAGCAACCGGGAUUAGAAACCCUAGUAGUCC